GAACAAUGUAGGUAAGGGAAGUCGGCAAGUUCGAUCCGUAACUUCGGGACAAGGAUUGGCUCUGAGGACUGGGCCCGUCGGGCUGGGGUCCGAAGCGGGUGUGGCACUGCACCGGGACUGGGCGAGACUGGCCGUGAAAGCGGUCCGGUCCGGCCCGGACCAGCGUCGGGGCCUUCCCGUGGAAUGCCUCAGCUGCGCGGCGCACCGGGCACAAAGCUCGAAGCGACCGUUUCGGCGGGCAACUAACAGCCGACUCAGAACUGGCACGGACUAAGGGAAUCCGACAGGGCUGUAAUAUUUGGUGGCAACAGUUUGAAAAAUGAACCGACAUUUAAUGUUUCCGACGCAAAAUC
rnacentral:ncRNA from 1 species